AUAUCAAUAAGCGGAGGAAAAGAAACCAACAGGGAUUGCCUUAGUAGCGGCGAGUGAAGCGGCAAUAGCUCAAAUUUGAAAUCUGGCACCUUCGGUGUCCGAGUUGUAAUUUGAAGAAGGUAUCUUUGGUUUUGGCUCUUGUCUAUGUUCCUUGGAACAGGACGUCACAGAGGGUGAGAAUCCCGUGCGAUGAGAUGCCCAAUUCCAUGUAAAGUUCCUUCGACGAGUCGAGUUGUUUGGGAAUGCAGCUCUAAGUGGGUGGUAAAUUCCAUCUAAAGCUAAAUAUUGGCGAGAGACCGAUAGCGAACAAGUACUGUGAAGGAAAGAUGAAAAGAACUUUGAAAAGAGAGUGAAAAAGUACGUGAAAUUGUUGAAAGGGAAGGGCUUGAGAUCAGACUUGGAAUUUUCCAUUACAUGGAGCUUUCCGGGCCAGCAUCAGUUUGGAUGGCAGGAUAAUUGCGUUGGAAAGUAGCUCUACUUCGGUGGAGUAUUAUAGCCUUCGUCGAUACUGCCUGUCUAGACUGAGGACUGCGUCUUUGACUAGGAUGCUGGCAUAAUGAUCUUAAGCCGC
rnacentral:rRNA from 1 species